ensembl:misc_RNA 7SK 7SK RNA
GAAUGUAAGGGUGAUCUGGCUGUGACAUCUGUCACCCCAUUGAUCACCAGAGUUGAUUAGGCUGAUCUGGCUGGCUAGGUGGGUGUCCCCUUUCUCCCUCACUGUUCCAUGUGCAUCGCUACUGAAGCUGCAAGCUAGGUGGAAGAGGAAGGCCUUCCCCAAAUAGAUAUGGACCGGUCUUUGGACUGGUCUUUCGUGGAGGUUACACUAGUAGCUGUGCGCCCCUGCUAGAACCUCCAAACAAGCUCUCUGUAUAAAAUAGAGAUAAAUUUCCCUCGUAAUCCUAUAUAGUAUCAAUUUGCUUCUAAGUUUAGAGAUUACAGAUAUGG